UCCGGCGACCACAGCGAUGGGGCCACACCUCUUCCCAUUCCGAACAGAGCAGUUAAGCCCAUCCGCGCCGAUGGUACUGCGCGGGUAGCCGCGUGGGAGAGUAGGUCGUCGCCGGGA
rnacentral:rRNA from 1 species